UACAGAGGUCCCAAGCGUUGUUCGGAUUCACUGGGCGUAAAGGGUGCGUAGGCGGUCAGCACAAGUCAGUUGUGAAAUCUCCGAGCUUAACUCGGAAAGGUCAACUGAUACUGUGCGACUAGAGUGCAGAAGGGGCAACUGGAAUUCUUGGUGUAGCGGUGAAAUGCGUAGAUAUCAAGAGGAACACCUGCGGCGAAGGCGGGUUGCUGGGCUGACACUGACGCUGAAGCGCGAAAGCCAGGGGAGCGAACGGG
rnacentral:rRNA from 1 species